AACAUUCAACGCUGUCGGUGAGUUUGUGACUCAGAGAAACCAUCGGGCGGAGAGUGUACC
rnacentral:pre_miRNA from 1 species